AUGUGGGCCCAGGAUGGAGGACCGCCCUGGAUGGAGGAGCGCCCAGGAUGGAGGAGCGCCCAGGAUGGAGGACCGCCCUGGAUGGAGGAGCGCCCAGGAUGGAGGAGCGCCCAGGAUGGAGGACUGCCCUGGAUGGAGGAGCGCCCAGGAUGGAGGACCGCCCAGGACGGAGGACCGCCCUGGAUGGAGGAGCGCCCAGGAUGGAGGACCGCCCUGGAUGGAGGACCGCCCUGGAUGGAGGACCGCCCAGGAUGGAGGACUGCCCUGGAUGGAGGACUGCCCAGGAUGGAGGACCGCCCUGGAUGGAGGAGCGCCCAGGAUGGAGGACCGCCCAGGACGGAGGACCGCCCUGGAUGGAGGAGCGCCCAGGAUGGAGGAGCGCCCAGGAUGGAGGACUGCCCUGGAUGCGGGACGGAGCCCGGAGGUAGUAUGCGCCAGUCGCUGCUGUGUGAACACCCCCGCCCCCACCUAACUUAGUGUCCUAGAGGAGGAACCAUCAUUUUGCUACCAUCACUCAUGGUUCUGGAGUUGGAGCUCAGCUAGGUUGUUGUCUUUUGGAGUCACUCUCUCUGUCUCUGCAAGUUUAUUUAUUUGUUUGUUUAUUUAUUUUUAAAGAUUUUGUUUAUUCGUUUGAAAGAGAGAGCGCGCCAGUGCGGGUGCGAGAAAGGCGAGCAGAGGCGAGGGGGAGAGGGAGAGGGAGAAGCAGACUCCCCCCUGAGCAAGGACCCGAGGCAGAGCUCAGCCUCAGGGCCCCAGGAUCAUGAUCUGACCCAAAGGCAGCCGCUUAACCCAACUGAGCCACCCAGGCACCUAAUUUUAUUUAUUUUUAAGUAAUCUCCACACCCAGCAUGGGGCUCGCUUAAACUCACCAGCCCAAGGGCAGCCCGGGUGGCCCAGCGGUUUGCCACCACCUUUGGCCCAGGGCGUGAUCCCGGAGACCCGGAAUCGAGUCCCAUGUCGGGCUCCCUGCAUGGAGCCUGCUUCUCCCUCUGCCUGUGCCUCUCUCUCUCUCUCUGUGUGUCUAUCAUGAAUAAAUAAGUAAAAUAUUAAAAAAAAAAAAAAACUCACCACCCCGAGAUCAAGAGUCACAUGCUCUUCCACUGCGACAGCCCCGGGUCUCUCUCUCUUUUUCAGACUGACAUACAACAUCCUAUUAGCUCCAGGGGUGCACCAUAGUGCUUCGGUAUUUCUCUACGUUAGGAAAUGGUGCCCACCGAAAGUGCGGUUGCCAUCUGUCACCAUACAAGGCUAUUACAAUAUCACUGGCUAUAUUCUCGGUGCUGUACUUUUCGUCCUCAUGACUUAUUUAUUUCAUAACUGGAAGUGUGGCCCUCUUGAUCCCCUUCACCUGUUUUCGUCCACCCUCCAUACCCCUUCCCUCUGGCAACCGCCAGCUUGUCUCCUGUAUCUGUGAGUCUGUUUUUGUUUUGUUCCGUUUGUUCAUUUGUUUUGUGUUUUUGGAUUCCACAUAUGAGUGAAAUCAUAUGGUAUUAGUCUUUCUCUGACGGACUUACUUCACUUAGCACAAUGUCCUCUAUGUAGGUCCACCCAUGUUGUCACAAAUGGCAAGAUCUCAUUCUUUGCUCUGGCUAAGUAUAAUUAAUAUAGUUAAAAUGUCCAUAAUACCCACGCCCGGGUGGCUCAGCGGUUGAGCCUCUGCCUUCAGCCCAGGGCGUGAUCCUGGAGACCCGGGAUCGGGUCCCACGUCGGGCUCCCUGCAUGGGGCCUGCUUCUCCCUCUGCCUGUGUCUCUACCUCUCUCUCUCUCUCCUCUCUGUGUAUUCUCAUGAAUAAUUAAAUAAUAUCUUUAAAAAAAUACCCAAAACGAUCUACAGAUGCAAUGCAAUCGAAACACUAAUGGCAUUUCACAGAACUACAACAAAGAGUCUUAGCAUUUGUGUGGAACCAUAAAAGACCCCAAAUAGCUGAAGCAAUCCGGAGAAAGAACAAAGCUGGGUGUAUCACACUCCCUGAUUUCAAACUACACUACAAAGCUAUAGAUUCCAAAAUCGUAUGGUACCGCGUGAGAACAGGCACAGCGAUCAACGCAAUAGAAUGGAAAACCCAGAAAUAACCCCGCGCAUGGUCAAUUUAUCUGUGACAGGAGGCAAGGAUGCAUCAUGGGGAAAAGGCAGGCUCUUCAGCAAAUGGUGCUGGGAAAACUGGACAGCAACAUGCAAAAGAAUGAAACAGGGUGGCUAUCUUACACAGACACAAAAACAGACUCAAAAUGGCUGGAAAACCUGAAUGUAGGACUGGAAACUGUGACACUCUUGGAAGAAACCAGAGAUGGUAAGCUCUCUGACAUCAGUUUUGACAGUAUUUCUGGACCAGUCUCCUGCUCAGGCAAGGCCAACAAAAGCUAAAAUAAGCAAAUAGGAUUCUAUCAAACUAAAAAGCACUUUUGCGCAGGGAAGGAAACCACUGACCAAAUGGAAAGGCAUCCUACGGCAUGGGAGAGGACACUUGCGAGUCACGCAUCUGAUAAGGAGCUAACAUCCGAAAUAAGUUGAGAACAAACACAAUGUAAUAUCGAAACACUAAACAACUUGAUUUAAAAACGGACAGGGGGACUUGGAUAGACAUUUUGGGGUCCAUGCGGUAGCAGGGAGACGCUGGCUGGGGUGAAAGUCAGCCCCAGAGUCGCUGGCUGUGGUCAGGGCACCUUCACGUAGGCUGCGUGGGCCUGGGCUCUCUCACAGCCGGGGCCCAAAAGCAAGAGGCUCAAAAAGAAUUGGGCAGAAGCUGAAUUGCCCCUUGUGACUCGGUUGCAGAAGUCAUAUAACACCCGUUCUGCUGCCCGAGUGAGAGGGGACGACGUAUAGACUCCCCCUCUCAUGUGGCAAGUGUCAAAGUACACGGCAAGAAGAGCAAAGGGACUGGGGUGUAUGCUGGCACCACCGUUGUUUUUUUUUUAUUAUUAUGUAUUUAUGAUAGUCAUACAGAGAGAGAGAGAGAGGCGCAGAGACACAGGCAGAGGGAGAAGCAGGCUCCAUGCACCGGGAGCCUGACGUGGGAUUCGAUCCCGGGUCUCCAGGAUCGUGCCCUGGGCCAAAGGCAGGCGCCAAACCGCUGCGCCACCCAGGGAUCCCCCUGGCACCACCUUUGAAUGCACAAUAUGCCGCAGAGGAGAAAGGGAGG
rnacentral:lncRNA from 1 species